rnacentral:rRNA from 1 species
UACGUAGGGUGCGAGCGUUAAUCGGAAUUACUGGGCGUAAAGCGUGCGCAGGCGGUUUGUUAAGUUCGUCGUGAAAGCCCCGGGCUCAACCUGGGAAUUGCAUUCGAGACUGCGUAGCUAGGGUGCGGAAGAGGGAAGCGGAAUUUCCGGUGUAGCGGUGAAAUGCGUAGAUAUCGGAAGGAACACCAGUGGCGAAAGCGGCUUCCUGGUCCAGCACCGACGUCAGGCACGAAAGCGUGGGGAGCAAACAGG